rnacentral:rRNA from 1 species
UCGACGAGAAUCACUGGAAGGAGUUUUCGGACAACGGAAGGUGAGGACAGUGGCGGACGGGUGAGUAACGCGUGAGGAACCUGCCUUUCAGAGGGGGACAACAGUUGGAAACGACUGCUAAUACCGCAUGACACAUAGAGAUCGCAUGGUUUUUAUGUCAAAGAUUUAUCGCUGAAAGAUGGCCUCGCGUCUGAUUAGCUAGUUGGUGAGGUAACGGCCCACCAAGGCGACGAUCAGUAGCCGGACUGAGAGGUUGACCGGCCACAUUGGGACUGAGAUACGGCCCAGACUCCUACGGGAGGCAGCAGUGGGGAAUAUUGGGCAAUGGGCGCAAGCCUGACCCAGCAACGCCGCGUGAAGGAAGAAGGCUUUCGGGUUGUAAACUUCUUUUGUCGGGGACGAGUAGAAGACGGUACCUGGCGAAUAAGCCACGGCUAACUCCGUGCCAGCAGCCGCGGUAAUACGGAGGGUGCAAGCGUUAAUCGGAAUUACUGGGCGUAAAGCGCACGCAGGCGGUCUGUCAAGUCGGAUGUGAAAUCCCCGGGCUCAACCUGGGAACUGCAUUC